UCAUGCAGCUCCCAUUAAAUUCAACAUACACUGUAUAAUCCAUAGGCACACAGCUGUAUAUACUUCAUUCAAUAUGAAAAGAAAAGCUCCACUAGACAGAUAAGAUAUGAAAUUAAUAAGCACAGAAUUGUGAGACUGAAAACAAUAUGCUGGACAUAAGGCAAAUUUGAUGCAUGGCAGAUGAAGGUGGCCAGCCAUUAAAUGACUAUGGAAAGCAGCAUGUUACUGAUAAGGAAAUCAAUCUGGAUGGAUGAGGGCAAUGUUUUAUGAAAAACUGGAAAAAGAAAACAAAGUAGAAAUCAACCAAAAUGUUAAUAAAGAGUCCUCUUUCAGGCCAAAUCUAACUCUGUCUAUAGCAACCAUUCUGAGGAGGCAGAGCUACAUGAGGAAGAAGAGAUAAAAGCGGAGACAAUGGGUGGUUUUUAGACUACCUCAUAUUUCCAGCAAGCACUCUAACAAUAUUGUCGUCACAGAUAAGAGCUAAAAAGCAGCCAAACAGCAAGAUAAGAUGUGCAACACUUCUGUUUUUCUCACUCCUUA